GCUCAGCCACAAAACUUGGACAUUCACAUUUUUCCCCGCCAGAGGAUUACGAGCAAUAGCUUAAAACUCAAAGGACUUGGCGGUGUCCUAAAUCCAUCCAGAGGAGCCUGUUCUAUAAUCGAUAACCCACGUUAAACCUCACCACCAUUUGCCAAUUCAGCUUAUAUACCACCGUCAUCAGCCUACCUUAUUGAAAGAGUUAAAGUAAGCAAAAACGAAUUUUUCAAAUACGCCAGGUCAAGGUGUAACAUAUGUGGUGGAAAGAAAUGGGCUACAUUUUCUUAAUGAAGAAUAUAUUACGGAUAACAAAAUGAAAUUAUGUUUUAAGGCGGAUUUGGCAGUAAGAAAAGACAAUAAUACUUAUCUUAAACAGGCCCUAGGACACGC
rnacentral:rRNA from 1 species